rnacentral:lncRNA from 10 species
GGGGUGGAGACAGCAAACAUGUUGAUAAGGCACCAGCAGUGGCUACCUUGUGAGUCUGGGGCCCAAAAGAGACAGUGGUGCUAACUGUGGAGUCUGGUGCCCAGUGGCCCUGGCAGGCGUGUCCUCACAGGCCAGGCUUGCAGUGUGGUUUCGACAUUGUUUCCGGAAGCUGAGCCUCAAGACGCUGCAGGGCUUGGCGGAAGAUCUGAGCCAUUUGCCUGGACGUUCUCCAUGCUAUUGUGAUCGGCCUCAUCUGUCUGAAACCUUGCUGACCCCGGCUUAUCUGGUGUUGGACCAAAUGACCCUGGAGUCUCUGCAUCUUCUUCAGGGUGACCUGUGCAUGUCUGCUAUCCCUGCCCCUGCCAGCCGUAGGCUGACCUCCACCUGACCCUCAACUGCAUGGGCCCUGAUGAGUCACAGGCUCCCUUCACAGAAGGAAGGUGGAAAAAGCUCACGUGAACGUUGCUUUCCUGUCCUUGGACUUCUGACAUCCCUCGGGCCAGCCCUCAGCAGUGAGCCAACCCGCAAGUCCUGCUCAGGAUCCAGUGGGAAGGCAGCUGUCCUCUUGGAUGAUCCUGGCACCAUAUUGGAAGGAGUCCAUCUGUGGAGGCCAUCAGAGAUUUGAUCACCUCAGCUGUUGUUCAGCUCCUCCGGGGACUGGGGGAAUUUUCGUGCCAUUGGUGUUGACAAUGACAUAAUCCUAGCUCUAAGUCGUCUAAGUGUGUUUCUCCACAGAUACACAUCAAGUACUAGGUGGUGCCAUUCUGUCCCACACAACUGUACAAUAAGUCUUCUCAAAGGCUGAGAAGACUCACCAUACAGAGCUUCAUUCCUUGAAACCCUAAGCUGGAACCCUGAAACCUUAUUUUUUCUUUCAGCUACCAUAAGGCUGAAAUUAACCAUAGCCUUCCCAAGGAUUGGUUUCUUCUCAAAGAGUUUUAACUUAUAAAUAGGACCAAAGAUUUUAAAAAUACAAAUGUUUGUCAUUAAAUGAAGUCAUGCAAGUGAAAGUGCCUAGAAUAGUACUUGGCUCAUAGCUGGUACAUGGGAAAGUCUUGUUUUCCACCUCCAUGUACUCCAGACGCAGCUUAGAAAAUCAGGUAACUUGGCCGGGCUCGGUGGCUCAUGCCUAUAAUCCCAGCACUUUGGGAGGCUGAGGCAGGCGGAUCACGAGGUCAGGAGUUUGAGACCAGCCUGGUCAACAUAGCGAAACCCCAUCUCUAUCAAAAAACAAAAAAUUAGCUGGGCGUGGUGGCGGGCACCUGUAAUCCCAGCUACUUGGGAGGCUGAGGUGGGAGGAUCGCUUGAUCCUGGGAGGCAAAGGUUGGAGUAACCUAUGAUCACACCACUGCACUCCAGCCUAGGUGACAGAGUGAGACCCUGUCUCAAAAAAAAAAGGCAGAGCUGAAUAAGACCGUUACUGUCACAGGGCUUUCUUCAAUAAAUGCUAGUCACU